UGACCACGGUGGUAUGGUAAUGAUUUUAUUAAAUACGGUGAUGACAUCAUGGGUAUGGUAAUGACGUUUUAUUAAACAAGGUGUAAAUAAAACAACUGUUUUGAGCAAAUCAACAAACAUGGGUAUAUUUAUUUCAAUUGUCAAUAAUAAAUUUACAACUUUAAUUGUAUAAUAUUAGCUUUAUAGGCACACUAACAACAACAACAUCAGCAAAAUUAUUAAAUAAUCAACUAUAUGGUUUUAACCAAGCUUCUAUUCUUAACAUUGUAGUUUUUGGUGCCGAUUAUUAUAAUUUCCGUUUCGUAAUCUUUUCUCACCAUUAAUCACUUCCUUUUUUCGUUUAAUGAUUAGAAUUGUGAUGCCUACGGCAUCCAUAACAUGAUAAAAUAAUCAUCUACUGAGUUAUAAUCAGUCUUCUAUUCUUAAAAUUUAUUUUUUUCGUAACGAUUAAUAUAAUUUCUGUUUCGAUAACUUUUCUCACUUUUAGUCUCUUCCUUCUCCGUUUUAUGAUUAGUGUUGUGAUGCUUUAGGCACCCACAAUAUAAACUAAUAAUCAUCCACUUAGUUAAAAUCAGUCUUCUAUUCUUAAAAUAUAUUUUUUUCGUACCGAUUAUUAUAAUUUCUGUUUCGAUAACUUUUCUCACCUUUAUCUCUGCCUUUUUCCGUUUAAUGAUUAG